rnacentral:lncRNA from 10 species
CACUUAGGCUCCGGGAGAUUGCAAAUAACCUGCUUUCUUUCUGUUCCCGGGCUGCGUUCGGACUCCUGUCAGAUAGUAAAUCCUAAGUGGCGUCGGACCCCUGUCAGAGAGUAAAUCUCAAGUAAGGUACCUGCCAUCGGCAGAUUUGAGCUUUCUUCUUGGACACCUAAUACCCACAGUCCUCCAGGCUCCGGUAGACUGCAAAUGACCUGCUUUCUUUCUGUUCCCGGGCUGCGUUUGGACCCCUGUCGGAUAGUAAAUCCCAAGUAAGGUACCUGCCCUCGGCAGAUUUGAGCUUUCUUCUUGGACACCUAAUACCCACAGUCCCCCAGGCUCCGGUAGACUGCAAAUGACCUGCUUUCUUUCUGUUCCCGGGCUGCGUUUGGACCCCUGUCGGACAGUAAAUCCCAAGUAAGGUACCUGCCCUCGGCAGAUUUGAGCUUUCUUCUUGGACACCUAAUACCCACAGUCCUCCAGGAAUGGAACAGAUAAGAAGAUACUGAAAUUGGACGGUGCUGCCGUGCGGCUGCCGCAGGACACCUUUAAUAUCCCUGUUUCUCAGGCUGUAGAUGAAGGGGUUCAGCAUGGAGGUGAUCACCGUGUACAUCACUGAGGCCACUGCAGCCUUUCUCGGGGAAGAUGACACAUCUGAACUGAGGUACCCUCCAAAGCCUGUUCCGUAAAAUCAGCAAACAACUGACAGGAUAACUUCAGGAAGUGGGUAUUAAUUCUCACGGUAUAAGUGAAGACAUUAAGCACCAGAGUUUAAGUAGCUUGAUCCACUGAAAGAGAUUCAACUGUGUGGAACCUAUGCCGUGGAGAAUUGCUUUCUGCCAUUGUUAUCGUCCAGCAGUUGCCGAAUAGCUCUGACCUGAGCAAAGCAGUGAAACGCGGUGCUGUUGAGUGGGUUGCCACUGCACCUUUUUCAACUACUCUAGUCUUGUGGAGAAAAUACCCCUUCUAAAUUUUUUCUUCAUUGAAUACUCUCCCUCAGCUCCAGAGUACCAUAUAGAGUUUUCUUGUAUUUUAGAGUUACUGUUUUAUCAAAGUUUACCAGUCUUUUGUAUUACAUUUCUCCUGUCUAAAUCGACUGUGUGGUUUCUACUCAUUAUGGAUAUAGAUUGAUACAAACUCAAUAAAUAUUUUUGAAUGA